rnacentral:rRNA from 1 species
UACGUAGGGGGCGAGCGUUACCCGGAUUCACUGGGCGUAAAGGGGGCGUAGGCGGCCGUGAAAGUCCGGUGUGAAAACUCACGGCUCAACCGUGGGACUGCGCUGGAAACUACACGGCUUGAGGACGGUAGAGGGAGACGGAACUGCUGGUGUAGGGGUGAAAUCCGUAGAUAUCAGCAGGAACGCCGGUGGAGAAGUCGGUCUCCUGGGCCGCGCCCGACGCUGAGACCCGAAAGCUAGGGGAGCAAACCGG